UAGGGAAUCUUCCACAAUGGGCGCAAGCCUGAUGGAGCAACACCGCGUGAGUGAAGAAGGGUUUCGGCUCGUAAAGCUCUGUUGUUAAAGAAGAACACGUAUGAGAGUAACUGUUCAUACGUUGACGGUAUUUAACCAGAAAGUCACGGCUAACUACGUGCCAGCAGCCGCGGUAAUACGUAGGUGGCAAGCGUUAUCCGGAUUUAUUGGGCGUAAAGAGAGUGCAGGCGGUUUUCUAAGUCUGAUGUGAAAGCCUUCGGCUUAACCGGAGAAGUGCAUCGGAAACUGGAUAACUUGAGUGCAGAAGAGGGUAGUGGAACUCCAUGUGUAGCGGUGGAAUGCGUAGAUAUAUGGAAGAACACCAGUGGCGAAGGCGGCUACCUGGUCUGCAACUGACGCUGAGACUCGAAAGCAUGGGUAGCGAACAGGAUUAGAUACCCUGGUAGUCCAUGCCGUNNCGAUGAGUGCUAGGUGUUGGAGGGUUUCCGCCCUUCAGUGCCGGAGCUAACGCAUUAAGCACUCCGCCUGGGGAGUACGACCGCAAGGNU
rnacentral:rRNA from 1 species